CAGUAGCCGCGGUAAUACGUAGGGUGCGAGCGUUAAUCGGAAUUACUGGGCGUAAAGCGUGCGCAGGCGGCUUUGCAAGACAGAUGCGAAAUCCCCGGGCUCAACCUGGGAACUGCAUUUGUGACUGCAAGGCUAGAGUACGGUAGAGGGGGAUGGAAUUCCGCGUGUAGCAGUGAAAUGCGUAGAUAUGCGGAGGAACACCAAUGGCGAAGGCAAUCCCCUGGACCUGUACUGACGCUCAUGCACGAAAGCGUGGGGAGCAAACAGGAUUAGAGACCCCCGUAGUCCCUGUCUCUUAUAC
rnacentral:rRNA from 1 species